rnacentral:rRNA from 1 species
AGCGAACGUUAGCGGCGGGCGUUAACACAUGCAAGUCGAACGAGAAAGUGUCCUUCGGGGCACAAGUACAGUGGCGCACGGGUGAGUAACACGUGGGUAACCUACCUUCUGGCGCGGGACAACAGUUCGAAAGGACUGCUAAUACCGCAUACGUUGCUGACGGCUACGGCUGUUACCAAGAAAGGGUGGUCUACUUCGGUAGGCUAUCGCCGGAAGCUGGGCCCGCGGCCCAUCAGCUUGUUGGUGAGGUAACGGCUCACCAAGGCUAAGACGGGUAGCUGGUCUGAGAGGAUGAUCAGCCACACUGGGACUGAGACACGGCCCAGACUCCUACGGGAGGCAGCAGUGGGGAAUAUUGGACAAUGGGCGCAAGCCUGAUCCAGCCACGCCGCGUGUGUGAUGAAGGCCUUCGGGUCGUAAAGCACUGUGGAGGGGGAAGAACAAGUGGCGUAAGAAACGACGCCGCCCUGACGGUACCCCUUUAGCAAGCACCGGCUAACUCCGUG